rnacentral:rRNA from 1 species
CUACGGGAUGCACCAGUAAGGAAUAUUGCGCAAUGGAGGCAACUCUGACGCAGCCAUGCCGCGUGCAGGAAGAAGGCCUUAUGGGUCGUAAACUGCUUUUAUUUAGGAAUAAACCCCCGAACGUGUUCGGGGCUGAAGGUACUAAACGAAUAAGCACCGGCUAACUCCGUGCCAGCAGCCGCGGUAAUACGGAGGGUGCAAGCGUUAUCCGGAUUUAUUGGGUUUAAAGGGUGCGCAGGCGGGCUAUUAAGUCAGUGGUGAAAUCCCGGGGCUCAACUCCGGAACUGCCAUUGAUACUGAUAGUCUUGAGUUUGGUUGAAGUGGGCGGAAUGUAGCAUGUAGCGGUGAAAUGCAUAGAUAUGCUACAGAACACCAAUCGCGAAGGCAGCUCACUAAGCCAAAACUGACGCUCAUGCACGAAAGCGUGGGGAUCAAACAGGAUUAGAUACCCGCGUAGUC